rnacentral:rRNA from 1 species
CAAUAGCGUAUAUUAAAGUUGUUGCAGUUAAAAAGCUCGUAGUUGGAUUUCUGGUGGGAGCGAUCGGUCUGGCGCUUAGCGCGAGUACUUGCAUCGUCUCCGGCCAUCCUUGGGGAGAGUCUGUCUGGCAUUAGGUUGUCGGGCAGAGGAUCCUCAUCGUUUACUGUGAAAAAAUUAGAGUGUUCAAAGCAGGCUUAUGCCGUUGAAUAUAUUAGCAUGGAAUAAUAAGAUAGGACUUUGGUACUAUUUUGUUGGUUUGCGCACCAAAGUAAUGAUUAAUAGGGACAGUUGGGGGUAUUCGUAUUCCGUAGUCAGAGGUGAAAUUCUUGGAUUUACGGAAGACGAACUACUGCGAAAGCAUUUACCAAGGAUGUUUUCAUUAA